rnacentral:lncRNA from 1 species
ACAAAUCAAACAAAGAAACACAUUACAGGGGGGAAUGAAAAGAAUGGGAAUGGGAGGGAAAGAGACGAAAGGAAGAGAAGAAGAGAAAAUAAAAAGAAAAGAGAAAGAAGAAAAGACAAAAAAAUAUAUAUAAAAGGGGAUCGGAGACAACAAAGGACAGUAGACCGCUUAAAAGUGUAUGACCAGUUUAGGGGAGAAGUCAGGAUGAGAUACAGGAGAAUAUAUCUGGGUUGCGAGAAGGUGAAAAAGUAAGGAUGAGAUACAGGAGAAUAUAUCUGGGUUGCAAGAAGGUGAAAAAGUAAGGGAGAAAGGAGAAAGGAAAAUAAGGAGUAAAAAUUUAAAAGAGUUAAGUAAAGAAAAAGAAAAAAAAGGUAAUAAUAACAAAUACGUAUGAAAAAAAGUGGAGAAAGAAAAAAAAAAGCAACAGCUCCCCCUUGUGGAUAGGCUUGGUUUGAUGUGGUAGGUCUCGGAGGCUGCUCUCAGAGGCUCCAUCUUGGUGUCUAUGAAGAUUAGAAUGGCGGCUUGCCAAGCUCUGCUGAACUAGGCACUGUAGUCCACUCUAAUGAGUCCGAUCUCCUUGGGCCACAGUUGAGCCGAGUUGUAUUUUCCAGACCUGCCUCGGUUCAAAGUUCCAGUCCAUGCACGUUUGCGCUACCACAGAUGAAAUAUAUUUGUUUUGGUGGCUGGCUUCUUAGGGGGAGGAAUAAGUUUGUCUUGGCCCAGGCAAGGAUUGCAGGUACCCCUGCCUGAGGCGAAAUGAGCAGCAGUAGGUGAGGUGCGCACCUUCACAGACGCAGAUGAGGAGUCCUCACCCCCAGCCAGGAUUGCCAUUGCAAUGGGGGAAGGAGAAAAAAAAAAAAUUGAGUCUCUCUUGGCUUCGGGUAGCUGUUGCUCAAGGCGCUGUGCACUGCUGGAAAUGAGCUGGGAGCUCCUGCAGCCUAGGCGCAUGCCCAGGCCUCCACCUGCCACUGACUCUCUGUCGGGGUUCGUGAAGGUGUGGGCCCUAUUUUUUCCUGUGGGCACCCUGGAUUCGGGAUUCGCACAGCCAAUGCAGGGGGCGAGAUGCACCGUGGAAAUGAGCAAAUGGAGAAAUUCGAAAAUUGCUACCAGGGCAGCGAGCUGCUUGGGUUCGUAA